AAAUACAGGAUCAGAUGUAUCGAUGAGCAGACUUCUAUACUAGGCACUCGUCCGUAUUCAGUAAAGCAGUUGUGAAUGGAGAUUGUUACAUAACAAGUGUAGAUCAUUUUUGAAGAUGUUAAAAUAGGUGGGCUUCCAAGUUGAUGGAGUUAGGCCUUGGGUUAAUGAGGAUUCAUAUAGUUAAAGCCAAUUGCACUGUAGUUGUUGCUAUUCCUUGAAGUAAUACUUCUCAAGGUUGUCGGAUAUCUUUCUCGGUGCUAGUUAAUAUCUUCCAGUUUCCUGUCAGAUUAUCAAGUGUAUAAGUGCUCUCGAAUUGUUAAUUUUAAAGGUUUUGUGCUUCUCUUGUUCCCUUUUUAAAAUUACUGAGUUGAAGGCCAGUUCUCUACUAUAGAGAUAUGAUCCAUUUGAAGUUUAUCUUUUCAUUUUAAGGUAAAUACUAAACAUAACACAGGUGAAAAUUUU